rnacentral:rRNA from 1 species
AGGACGAACGCUAGCGGCGUGCCUAAUGUAUGCAAGUCGAGCGAGGCCUUCGGGCCGAGCGGCGAACGGUUGAGUAACACGUCGGCAACCUGCCCCGCAGUGGGGGAUAACUCAUCGAAAGGUGGGCUAAUACCGCAUGUAGCCCCGGUUCGCAUGAACCGGUGGCGAAAGCAGCAAUGUGCUGCGGGAGGGGCCGGCGGCCUAUCAGCUUGUUGGUGGGGUAACGGCCUACCAAGGCUUCGACGGGUAGCUGGUCUGAGAGGAUGGUCAGCCAGACAGGGACUGAGACACGGCCCUGACUCCUUUGGGGGGCAGCAAUGAGGGAUAUUGCGCAAUGGGGGAAACCCUGACGCAGCGACGCCGCGUGGGUGAUGAAGUCCUUCGGGAUGUAAAGCCCUUUUGCCGGGGACGAGAAUGGACGGUACCCGGCGAAUAAGCCCCGGCUAACUACGUGCCAGCAGCCGC